UUUACACUGUCUACUGCACGGAAAGUGUGAGGAGAGCAAAUCGUUAUUUGCUGUUCUGUUUCCUGACUUUAUCGUUGAAACAAUAUGUCAAUCAAAGUAAGAGGUACCUUCUUAGAUUAUUCAUCGACUGAAGAUGAGAAAACUGAGCCCAAGGUCAUACAGAAAUGGGAGCCACCUCUGGAAAUCCAGGCCAGAGCCCCCACUGUCAACCACUGCCCGGCACUGCACUGCUGCUGAUAUAUUAGGUACUCAAUAAAAGAUAAAUGAAUGCACAACUGGACCAUGAUAUAAGGCAGUGUGUGAGGGAGACAGAGAGAGAGAGAGAGAAGAGGAAGAAGAGAGAAAAAUGGAGAGCAAUGGGGUGUGAUCCUUCCCAUGAAACUGUCUCCAAAUCCUUCUAAAGGUUCUAAACUCAAAAAAUGUUUGAGUGUGAGUUGAUUUUUGUAGGAACCAGUGAACAGAUUGGGCUUCCUGCCUGGAUUGAUGUGUAGGAGCAUAGAGGCAGAAGCCCAAGGAAGCCAGUCCUGUGCGCUCACAAGAAUCGUGAGGAGGACUUUGCCUUUUACAAUCCUAUAGAAUUUGGGUUUGUCCAAGCUUAAACAGAUCUCUAAGUUCUCUGUUUGACAUCUGUGUUUCAUUCUGGGGUCCCGUCCAGUAUCGUUUGAAUUAAGGAGCAGAGCUGAACCAGGAGUACAGCCUUAUAAUGACUUCCAAACUGUGGGGUGCCCUGUGCAGGGAGAUUAGGGGUUUGUUGGAUUGGCUGAAAAUCUUGAUGAUUUUGGAAAUUCCAUUUAAAUUUAGAGUAAAGUUGUAGAAACCAUUCUGAGAUAGGCAAUACAGCCUUUGGGGAAAACGCUCUGUUUAAUGUUGACUAUUCAGAAAAAAGCCAGGUAUACGCUGAAUCAUAAACAAGAAGGGUGGUAACUUCUGUCAAUAUAAGAGACAUAAAAACAGACAUAGGAUUUCCUGGUAUGCAAUGUGGUUUUGUUAAUGGAGAGAAGAGACAUUUUGUGGCAAACUCCUACUAGCAGGAAAAACCAUGGCUUUUCCAGAAAUUAAGGUCAGGAAAUGGGAAAGAAGCCAGAGAGGAUAACUACUCCAGCGCCAUGAGCAAAGGUGCUCAUAU